UUUGAGUCAAUAAGGAAAGACAGGAAGAGACUACAGGUAAGCUAAGCUCUUGAGCAAAGUAACGUAUUGGAGCUCUCAAUUUCUCAGACCUUUCCUCUCCCAUAACGCUCAGGAAUUUAUACUGAUAUAUCUCAUUUGGCUAUUCUUCAUACAUCUCAAUUGCAAGUGUAAGAAAUAGAGAGAGUUUGCAAUGAAAAGUUGGAAGAAAGCUUUGGAAAUUCUGAUAAUUCAUAAAAGAACUGAUGAUUUAAGAAGAAUUAAAUCAAGGAUUAAGCAAGAAUCAAAGCUCAAGAGGUAUUCAUCUAUUCUGUUAUCUUUAAGUCCAUAAAUAAAAGUAGUAUAACUUCUGUAAUUUAAUUGUGAAAUAUUGGUUGGGUUGUUUGGUGGUUAUAUGAUCAUCAACUAUAGUGAAUGAUUUCCAUGAGAAAUUUGGGUUGACCUUAAAGUAAAGGCUAUGAAAUCUGGGUAUGCAAAGAAUGCCCAUUAUAUAUUUGAUAGAAUACUUCAAUAGAGGUUCUUUGUUAAAUUGUAAGAAUUGGUCAUUGUAAUAAGAAAGUAUGAUGUAUAUAUAAGUUUUGUAAUAACUCUAUAUGUAUGAAAAUUUUAAAACUAUGUAAUUGGGCAGAAGAUGCAAGAAAUGGCAUGAAGAAUCAAACUUUAUUGGAGCAGAGCCUGUUCUGGGCUUCAGGUGAAGUAGCGCGGCCGCGCCACUUCCCAGGCCAAUAUCAGCGCGGCCGCGCUGGUCAUCUGAGUUGCCAAAAUGAUUCUUUUGCAUUCCGAGUUUAUGGUCACGUGUGAUAGAUUUCUUUAUGCUUAUGUAUUGUACAUGAUAGCCAUGAAAUAAUCGACUUGGUUUAGAAUGGAUUUGAAUAAGUUUUCAAGUAAAACUUAAGGAAAUUUUGAAAAGAAAACCAUGGUCUAAAUUGGUUAGGGUUAUUUGAAAUAUUGGUAUACAUAUAAUCUAUAUAAUAAAAUACAAAUGAUUUUGAAUUUUCCGCUCACUAAAUAAAUCAUCUGGGCCGUUCAAAGUUUGAGAUAAAUCUCACCGUCCAUACAGUGCCAGAGGCACGGGAUCCGGCUAGUGUACUUAUAUGUAUCUUAGAUAAUGUUCAGAUUAGUCGAGAAGUAUUAAGUUUGUCAAGUCUAGUUAAAAAAAUGGAUGGCUAAUGAAAAUUAUGUGAUUUGGAAAACUGAACUUGAUACAAGGUUCAACGCUAGCAGAAACUUUAUAUUCAUGUGUUAUACGAUGCAAAGGUAGGUUUUAGUAGGUUAUAGGUUGAGCAGGGUAAUAAAAAUCUCAAUUCUGGGCCUGAAAGGAAGUAGUGCGGCCGCGCCACUCCCGGACUUAAUUGCAGCGCAGCCGCGCCGCACUGCAAAGCAAUCAAGAUGUUUAAUUUAUGAUUUGAACUUUGGGGGCAUGUACGUACAUGCCUUCUAAAAUAUAAUAAAUGAGUCUUAUGAUAAUUAGCCUAUUCACAUAUGAAGUGGCUUAACAUUAUUAAGAAAUUUGCAAGAUAAGGAAAAUGGAAUCAAGGAAAUUACAAUAAGUAUGUAUGAAUUUAAAGGCAUGUAAUGCACAAGUUAUUGAGCGAUUAGCCUAUUCAAGCAUGAAGCGGUCAAGAUUAAUAAACAUUGGUUAAAAAGCUAUGAGGAAAUUUAACGUUAUAAAAGACAAGAUAGAAGUAAAGUAAACUAUAUUUACAUUGAAUGUAUGAUUGAUAUGUAUAUAUGUGUGAUUAUAUGACUAUGUAGGAUUCAUGAAGAGCAGGUAGAAGUGGUUGUAAUCAACUCGCAAGGCAAGUCUUUCAGUUUCUAUGAGCUAUAUGAACUUGAUAUUGCUUAUUUGUAAACUAUUCUAGAAUGAGUAUGUUGAAUUAUGUAUGAUGCUCUAUAAUCGCGAAAGUCAACUUAUGGCUAAGUUGAUCGAGUUAUGGAACUCAAUCUUUAUAUGAUAUGUGUGUAACGCAAUAAGUAUGAUAUGUAUAGUCAAAUGAUUAUAAUGAAUUAACUGAGCAUGCAAUUAUAUGUUAUGUGAUGCAUGAAAACUGCUAGAUUUACUGAGCUGUCGAGCUCAAUCUUGCAAAAAUAAAUUUUUUGCAGGUUAAGGAGACAAUGUUGUAUUACGUGCUAUUUGGAUGAUAAGGAUCAGAAGACAUGCAAUGAAAUAAAUUUUCUUUAGCUAGAAAUAUUAUUUUGAACCAUGCUAAGGGUUUCCAAUGUAUGUAGUUGAUAAUUUAUGAUGUGUAUGUAAUGCCAAGUUGUGAGUAUUGAAUUAUCCAAUAUAUAUAAAGGAUAUUGUAUUGAGAAGUGUGUUCUUAUACAAUAACUCUGAUAAAAUGAAUCAUAUAAUCAAUAUGAUUAUAAAAUAUGUAAUCGUAAAGGUUGCGAUUCAGUAAAUAAAUGAAAGAAGAU
rnacentral:lncRNA from 1 species